rnacentral:rRNA from 1 species
CAAUAGCGUAUAUUAAAGUUGUUGCAGUUAAAAAGCUCGUAGUUGGAUUUGUGGUUCGUCCCGCCGGCUGGGUCAUUGACCUUUGCUGUGCUGGUCGUCCAUCCUUGGGUGGAAUCUGUGUGGCAUUAGGUUGUCGCGCAGGGGAUGCCCAUCGUUUACUGUGAAAAAAUUAGAGUGUUCAAAGCAGGCUUAUGCCAUUGAAUAUAUUAGCAUGGAAUAAUGAUAUAGGACCUUGGUACUAUUUUGUUGGUUUGCGCACUGAGGUAAUGAUUAAUAGGGACAGUUGGGGGUAUUCGUAUUCCAUUGUAAGAGGUGAAAUUCUUGGAUUUUUGGAAGACGAACUACUGCGAAAGCAUUUACCAAGGAUGUUUUCAUUA